rnacentral:rRNA from 1 species
UACGGAGGGGGCUAGCGUUGUUCGGAAUUACUGGGCGUAAAGCGCGCGUAGGCGGCUUUGUAAGUUAGAGGUGAAAGCCCGGAGCUCAACUCCGGAACUGCCUUUAAGACUGCAUCGCUAGAAUUGUGGAGAGGUGAGUGGAAUUCCGAGUGUAGAGGUGAAAUUCGUAGAUAUUCGGAAGAACACCGGUGGCGAAGGCGGCAUCCUGGACCGGUAUUGACGCUGAGGCGCGAAAGCCAGGGGAGCAAACGGG